UGCAAGUCGAACGGUAACAUGAGAGCUUGCUCUUGAUGACGAGUGGCGCACGGGUGCGUAACGCGUAUGCAACUUACCUCUAACAAAGGAAUAGCCCAUAGAAAUGUGGAUUAAUACCUUAUAAUAUAUUAGAUUGGCCUCAAUUUGAUAUUAAAACUACGGUGGUUAGAGAUAGGCAUGCGUCCCAUUAGCUAGUUGGUAAGGUAACGGCUUACCAAGGCAACGAUGGGUAGGGGGCCUGAGAGGGUGACCCCCCACACUGGUACUGAGACACGGACCAGACUCCUACGGGAGGCAGCAGUGAGGAAUAUUGGGCAAUGGACGAAAGUCUGACCCAGCCAUGCCGCGUGCAGGAAGAAUGCCCUAUGGGUUGUAAACUGCUUUUAUAUACCAAGAAACGCAGGUACGUGUACCUGUCUGACGGUAGUAUAUGAAUAAGCACCGGCUAACUCCGUGCCAGCAGCCGCGGUAAUACGGAGGGUGCAAGCGUUAUCCGGAUUUAUUGGGUUUAAAGGGUUCGUAGGCGGGACUUUAAGUCAGUGGUGAAAGCCUAUAGCUCAACUAUAGAAUUGCCAUUGAUACUGAAGUUCUUGAGUACACUUGAAGUUAGCGGAAUGUAUCAUGUAGCGGUGAAAUGCAUAGAUAUGAUACAGAACACCGAUUGCGAAGGCAGCUAACUAAAUUGUCACUGACGCUGAGGAACGAAAGCGUGGGGAGCGAACAGGAUUAGAUACCCUGGUAGUCCACGCUGUAAACGAUGAUCACUCGAUAUUGGCCUUUUCGGGUCAGUGUCCAAGCGAAAGUAUUAAGUGAUCCACCUGGGGAGUACGACCGCAAGGUUGAAACUCAAAGGAAUUGACGGGGGCCCGCACAAGCGGUGGAGCAUGUGGUUUAAUUCGAUGAUACGCGAGGAACCUUACCAGGGUUUAAAUGCAGAACGACAUCCCGAGAAAUCGGGACUUCUUCGGACGGUCUGCAAGGUGCUGCAUGGUUGUCGUCAGCUCGUGCCGUGAGGUGUCGGGUUAAGUCCCAUAACGAGCGCAACCCCUAUUUCUAGUUGCCAGCGGGUAAUGCCGGGGACUCUAGAGAAACUGCCAGCGUAAGCUGAGAGGAAGGUGGGGAUGACGUCAAAUCAUCACGGCCCUUACGUCCUGGGCCACACACGUGCUACAAUGGUAGGUACAGAGGGCUGCUACCUAGUGAUAGGAUGCUAAUCUCUAAAAUGCGUCUUAGUUCGGAUCGGGGUCUGCAACUCGACCCCGUGAAGUUGGAUUCGCUAGUAAUCGCGUAUCAGCAACGACGCGGUGAAUACGUUCCCGGGCCUUGUACACACCGCCCGUCAAGCCAUGGAAGUUGGGAGUGCCUGAAGUCGGUAACCGUAAGGAGCUGC
rnacentral:rRNA from 1 species